rnacentral:tRNA from 1 species
GCAUUAAUGGGGUAGUGGUAACCUGGGUCGUUGCCAUGUUCAUUGUCGUCGAACGCGAGUUCGACCCGCCGGGGGUUCGAUUCCCUCUUAAUGCA